rnacentral:rRNA from 1 species
UGGGGAAUUUUGCACAAUGGUGGAAACUCUGAUGCAGCGACGCCGCGUGAGUGAUGAAGAUCUUCGGAUUGUAAAACUCUGUCCUUAGUGAAGAUAAUGACAGUAACUAAGAAGCAAGCCCUGGCUAAAUACGUGCCAGCAGCCGCGGUAAUACGUAUGGGGCAAGCGUUGUCCGGAAUUAUUGGGCGUAAAGGGUACGUAGGCGGUUUAAUAAGUCCUAAUUAAAAGGCUAUGGCUCAACCAUAGUAUGGUUAGGAAACUGUUGAACUUGAGUAGAUGAGGGGAAAGUGGAAUUCCAUGUGUAGCGGUGAAAUGCGUAGAUAUAUGGAGGAACACCAAUGGCGAAGGCAACUUUCUGGAAUCAAACUGACGCUGAGGUACGAAGGCGUGGGGAGCAAACAGG